CAAUAGCGUAUAUUAAAGUUGUUGCAGUUAGAACGCUCGUAGUCGGAUUUCGGGGCGGGGCGACCGGUCUGCCGAUGGGUACGCACUGGUCGGCGCGUCCUUCCUUCCGGAGACCGUGCCUACUCUUAACUGAGCGGGGGCGGGAGACGGAACGUUUACUUUGAAAAAAUCAGAGUGUUUCAAGCAGGCAGCUCGCUCUUGCAUGGAUUAGCAUGGGAUAAUGAAAUAGGACUUUGGUGCUAUUUUGUUGGUUUCGAACACCGAAGUAAUGAUGAGAAGGGACAGUCAGGGGCACUCGUAUUCCGCCGAGAGAGGUGAAAUUCUCAGACCAGCGGAAGACGAACCACUGCGAAAGCAUUUGCCAGGGAUGUUUUCACUGA
rnacentral:rRNA from 1 species